AACCUGCAAAGCAGAUUGACUAGCGAACACGUUCAUCAUGUGGGGGAAGGGUGUGCUGGGGUGACUUGUCACCCCGCCCAUCCAACCCCUGGCUUCGGGGUCAUCCCUUGCGGUUGACUCCUUGGCACAAUAACGAACCCCGGCGCGUUCUGCGCCAAGGAACAUCAAUAUAGUGUGUGCCCAUGCCGUGCCCGGUCUUCCGGCGCUUGGCGGGCACCCGGUGAUAAUACAAUAAUGACUCUCGGCAACGGAUAUCUCGGCUCUCGCAUCGAUGAAGAACGUAGCGAAAUGCGAUACUUGGUGUGAAUUGCAGAAUCCCGUGAACCAUCGAGUCUUUGAACGCAAGUUGCGCCCGAAGCCUCCUGGCUGAGGGCACGUCUGCCUGGGCGUCACGCAUCGCGUCUCCCCCCAUCCCGCACGCUAGUGUGGGGGAGGGGGAGGAUGAUGGCCUCCCAUGCCUCACCGGGUGUGGCUGGCCUAAAAGAGGAGCCUCGGGUCACUGAUUGCCGCGGCGUAUGGUGGUAUACAAGGCCUUGCCUCGGAUGCAACGCGCCGCGCGGGACGUGAACGUUGAGGACUCGUAGGACCCUACUCUGUCUCCUUCGGCGACAGAACCGUUGCGACC
rnacentral:rRNA from 1 species